AUUGAACGCUGGCGGCAGGCCUAACACAUGCAAGUCGAGCGGAUGAAGGGAGCUUGCUCCUGGAUUCAGCGGCGGACGGGUGAGUAAUGCCUAGGAAUCUGCCUGGUAGCGGGGGAUAACGUCCGGAAACGGGCGCUAAUACCGCAUACGUCCUGAGGGAGAAAGUGGGGGAUCUUCGGACCUCACGCUAUCAGAUGAGCCUAGGUCGGAUUAGCUAGUUGGUGGGGUAAAGGCCUACCAAGGCGACGAUCCGUAACUGGUCUGAGAGGAUGAUCAGUCACACUGGAACUGAGACACGGUCCAGACUCCUACGGGAGGCAGCAGUGGGGAAUAUUGGACAAUGGGCGAAAGCCUGAUCCAGCCAUGCCGCGUGUGUGAAGAAGGUCUUCGGAUUGUAAAGCACUUUAAGUUGGGAGGAAGGGCAGUAAGUUAAGACCUUGCUGUUUUGACGUUACCAACAGAAUAAGCACCGGCUAACUUCGU
rnacentral:rRNA from 1 species